rnacentral:rRNA from 1 species
GACGAACGCUGGCGGCGUGCUUAACACAUGCAAGUCGAACGGAAAGGCCCUGCUUUUGUGGGGUGCUCGAGUGGCGAACGGGUGAGUAACACGUGAGUAACCUGCCCUUGACUUUGGGAUAACUUCAGGAAACUGGGGCUAAUACCGGAUAGGAGCUCCUGCUGCAUGGUGGGGGUUGGAAAGUUUCGGCGGUUGGGGAUGGACUCGCGGCUUAUCAGCUUGUUGGUGUGGUAGUGGCUUACCAAGGCUUUGACGGGUAGCCGGCCUGAGAGGAUGACCGGACACAUUGGGACUGAGAUACGGCCCAGCCUCCUACGGGAGGCAGCAGUGGGGAAUAUUGCACAAUGGGCGGAGGCCUGAUGCAGCCACGCCGCGUGCGGGAAGACGGCCUUCGGGUUGUAAACCGAUUUCGCCUGUGACGAAGCGUGAGUGACGGUAAUGGGUAAAGAAGCACCGGCUAACUACGUG